AUGAAAUUCUCAGCACCACACAAUAAAGAUAACGUUUUCGAUUCCCUCUCAACUUCAACCUCUCUCUCUCUCUCUCUGCUCCAUCUUCAUCUUCAAUUCUUCAUCUUCAUCUCUGUUGUAAUUUCGAUCUUCAUCACCUUACAGACAUGGCGGUUGCUGCUUAUGCAUCCUUGGUUUCUCUCACUCAUGUCCUCGACAAUCUCCACUAUCGUGCCCGAUUUAAUAUCCCUCGUGCUGACAUCAACCAAGUCGAAGCUCUCCAGAAAAAUGUCAAUUCCUUGCUGGAAUUUGUUGAGCUUCAUUCCGAAAGGAAGAUCCCUGAGCUUCGAGGUUUGUGGAGGAAAAUGGCUGAGGCUGCCGCUGAAGCAGAAAGUGAUAUCAACUUCCAUGUAGCCAAUCUACUCUAUGCCAAAUCUCAAGGAGAAACGAGUGAUACUUCAAGCUUCUCAGCUUUCUGUGAUGAAAUGGAGACACUGAUCCAAAAGUUUUGUUCCAUUGAAAAAGAGUUUCCGGUGAUUGAAGAAGACGGCGGGGAGGAUGCUCCAGCUCAAAAGCAAUCCAAUUAUGCUUCUGUUGCUGCUGGUGGUUCGCCUGCAGCUACUUCAUAUGUCAGCAAUGUUGUGGUUGGACUGGAUGAGCAUGUGAACACGAUAAGGGACAAGCUCGUCAGAGGUAGAUCUAAGCUCGAAAUCCUCCCAAUUGUCGGCAUGGGAGGAAUUGGUAAGACCACUCUUGCUAAAAGACUCUUUGAAGAUUCAUUUGUUGUCGACCACUUUGAUUUGCUCAUCUGGCUUACUAUAUCUCAAGAAUAUAGUUAUGAACAAAUCCUUAAAGUUGGUCUUGAAGGAAAGGCAGGAGAAGACGAAAAUUUAGAUGAGUUGGGAACUAAAUUCUACCAAAAAUUAUUCGGUAGAAGGUACUUGAUUGUUAUGGACGACAUGUGGUCAACUGGAGCUUGGGAUGAGUUAAAGAACUAUUUUCGUGACGAUGAGAAUGGAAGUCGUAUUUUGCUGACAACUAGACUCUCAAAUAUGGUGGUUUCUUUGGGUUGUCAUGAUCUCUAUCGAUUGGCAUUUUUAGAUCAGAAUGAAAGUUGGAGUUUAUUUUGUCAAAAUGCUUUUUCUCAAAAUGGUUGUCCAUACGGUCAUUUAGAUAAGUUUGCAAAGGACAUUACAAAAAGUUGUAGAGGGCUUCCUUUGGAAAUUGUUGUUGUUGGUCGAUUUCUUGCGAAUUCUGACAUGACCGUAAAAUAUUGGGAGAAUAUUGUAAAUAAUAUUAGCUCACUCGCUAAUUUGGAAGAUGAUGAGCAUUGUAAGAAAGUACUAUCUUUAAGUUACGAGAGUUUAUCCAUUCAUCUCAAACCAUGUUUUUUGUAUUUGAGAGUUUUUCCUGAAGACAGUAAAAUUGUAGUCUCAGAGCUAAUUGAGUCUUGGAUAUCUGAAGGAUUCAUUAAGUCAACGAGUGAUAGAACUUUAGAAGAUAUUGCAAAGGAGUAUGUAAAAAGCCUCAUUGAUAGGAAUCUAAUAUUUGAUCGGGAUGAAUAUACAUGCGGCAUUCAUGAUCUUUUACGGGAUCUUUGUUUAAAAGAGUCUGCCAAUGAAUGUUUUCUCCAAUUUCCUAGAAGGCAAGAGGUUAAUAGAAGAAGGUUAAGAGACACUGUGCAGUGUCAUCUUUGUCUAGAAAGUCUCGAGGAAAAAGAAGGAAUGCAUAUAGUGCAACCAUGUUAUAUAUUUGGAUUAUCGUCACAAGUUAAUCCUCUUGUAUGCGAUGGUUGUACUAUGGUGUAUUCGCAAAUUAAAAGACAUAAUAAUUUGGUGAAGAUGGCAAACUACGAUGAUGGUUUUGAUAUAGAAAGUUUUCAGCCAAUAGAAUUGCGUUGUGUUGCUGUAAGUAUGGUGAAAUCAUUGUCUUCUUCAACAUUAAAGUUACUUUGGAAUCUUCAAACUUUCAUCAUUUCGUUCUCAUCAAUUAAGGAUUUGCCUCCAGAGAUAUGGGAGAUGCCACAACUAAGAGAGAUUCGAUGUUCAUACGAUGCUCAUUUCCCAGAUCCUAUAGCCACUGAUAUUGAGGGGGAAGAUUUUAUUAUCCUCAAGGACCUUCACACCUUAAAUGGAAUCGGUAAUUUCAAUUGUACAAAGGAAGUCAUUGAUCGGAUCCCAAAUUUGAAGAAAUUGAGGAUAAGUUAUGGAAAUGGAUCUGAGACGGGCGUGAUACAGCUGUACGAUUAUUCUCUAUGUAAUCUUGAGCAGCUACAGAAACUUGAAUCUCUAUCUAUAUCAGGUUGCUUGGAGGAGAUGACCUUCCCUAAUUCCCUCAAGGAAUUGCGUUUGAUCAAUUGUAUGGGAAUAGCAUGGGAAGAUAUGUCAAUUGUUGGUUUGCUGCCGAGUCUUGAAACACUUGAGAUAUCUGAUGGUGGCGUGCAUGGGUCAGAGUGGGAGCCUGUUCAAGGGGAAUUUCGUCGCCUGAAAGAAUUGGACAUUAACAAUACUGAUUUAGUGUGUUGGAGAGCUGAAUCGGUGCACUUCCCUAUUCUGGAGAAGCUCAAACUUAUUGGAUUACGUUCAUUGGAGGAGAUCCCUUGGGGAAUUGGAGAUAUACUAACACUGAAAUCAAUUGAUGUGAUAAGAUGCAGUGAGUCUGUCGUUGAUUCGGCAAAGGAAAUAUGGGUGGAGCAACACGAGCUUGGAAAUGAGAUUAGAAUUGAUAUUACUGAUGAAGAACAAGGGAUCGAAUAUCAAAUUGGUACUUUCACUGCAAGAAUGACCGGGGCAGCUUGUGAAUCCUUGGCUUAUUUGAAACAUCUUCCGGAAAAACUCUCCAAGGUUGCUCAACAUGGCCGCGACUCUUUAAAUGGAAAACAAAUGGAAGCUGUGGAGGAAGCCAUCCAUUUUUUCAAGGACUUCUUUAAAGUUUUUCACCCAAGAAAAAGCCAAGAAAUGGAAAGUUUGCUAAGGGAAAUGGCCCAGGCUACCCAUAAAGCAGAGAUUGUGGUCCGCAGGCUACGCUCGGAAACUUUGAUGCCUAUACUUGGUAAGUGCGUCCGUGAAGAUGUGGAAAGGCUGUUGGAAAAGAUAGACUUCAUAAGAAAGGCAUUGUCAGUUGCUGAAGAGGAAGGGCAAGAAAACGAACAAAUUAAUGGUGAUAAUGAUGCCACAUCCUAUGAUAUCAACUCACUGAAAAUUAUGCGUGCAGAUUUACUUCGUUACAGGGAUGAAGAUCUGAGAGAAUAUCAAAUUGGUUCCGUCACGGCAGCACUGACGGAGGAUGCUAGUUUAAUCUGGUCUGAUUUAGCAUGCGCAUUGGAGGUCCUCCGGAAGGCUUCUGAGCUCGGCCGUCAUCAUCUAAACACAAAGCUAAUGGAAAAUGUCGACAAAUCCAUCAGUUUCCUGCAAGAUGUUGUUAAAGUUCAUCCUCAAAUCAUACUCCAGUACACCAAAGCUAUUGGUUAUGGGUACAUGUAUUAUUAUCUUGUCAUGGCAGUAGAGGAUCUGAAUUCCAAGCAUCUUGGGCGACAAUCUCUGGAAGAUGCAACUGAUGAAGAAAUCUUAUCCUUUUCUGAACAUGUGGAAAACGUUUUGAAUAAAUUAAUAAACCACAGAAUAUGGUUCACUAAGGCCUCGAAAUUAAAGACCCACUCACAAGAAGAAUCGACCGAUGAAGAAAUAUGAUCUACCAAGAUGUGAAAAGGAAAUAAAAUGAAAAGGCGAAAAGGAAUUUGUGUUUCGUCAAUUUAGGAUUUCUGCUGUUCGUCGUCGACUCGUCAGAGCAAUGGUUUCGAAUUCAAUCCCUGCCACCUCAAUCGCCUCCGCCUCAUCCAACCCUAAAGAUUUCGCCAAGAAGAAACGGACAUGGCUGUUGCUGUUGCUGCUUAUGCAUCCUUGGUCUCUCUCAAUCAUGUCCUCGACAAUCUCCACUACCGCGCCCGAUUUAGUAUCCCUCGUGCUGACAUCAACCAAGUUGAAGCUCUCCAGGAAAAUGUCAAUUCCUUGCUGGAAUUUGUCGAGCUUCAUUCCGAAAGGAAGAUCCCUGAGCUUCGACGUUUGUGGAGGAAAAUGGAUGAGGCUGCAGCUGAAGCAAAAGGCGCCAUAAACUUCCAUGUAUCCAAUCUACUCUAUGCCAAAGCUCAAGGAGAAAUGAGUGAUACUUCAAGCUUCUCAGAUUUCUGCGAAGAAAUGGAGACACUGAUCCAAAAGUUCUGUUCCAUCGAAAAAGACUUGCCGGUGAUUGAAGAAAGGGAGGAUAAUCAAGCCCAAAAGCAAUCCAAUUAUGCUGGUGGUUCGACUGCAGCUACUUCGUAUGCCAGUAAUGUUGUUGUUGGACUGGAUAAGCGUGCGAAGACGAUCAGUCAGAGGUAGGUCGAAGCUCGAAAUCCUCCCAAUAGUCGGCAUGGGAGGUAUUGGUAAGACCACUCUCGCUAAAAGUCUCUUUGAAGAUUCAUUUGUUGUCGACCACUUUGAUUUACGCAUCUGGCUUACUAUAUCUGAACAAUAUAGUGCUGAACAAAUCCUUAAAGUUGGUCUUGAAGGAAAGACAGCAGGAGAAAACGAAAUAUGCGAAAGUUUAGAUGAGUUGGGAACUAGAUUCUACCAAAAAUUAUUCGGUAGAAGGUACUUGAUUGUUAUGGAUGACAUGUGGUCAACUGAAGCUUUGGAUGAUUUACGGAGGUAUUUUCCCGACAAUGACGAUGGAAGUCGUAUUUUGUUGAUGACUAGACUCUCAGGCAUGGCUACUUCUCUGGGUUCUCAUGAUCCCUAUCAUUUAACAUUUUUAAAUGAGAAUGAAAGUUGGAGGUUAUUAUGUCAAAAUACAUUUUCUCAAAAUGGUUGUCCAUACGGUCAUUUAGAGAAGUUUGCAAAGGACAUUGCAAAAGGUUGUAGAGAGCUUCCUUUGGAAAUUGUUGUUGUUGGUCGAAUGCUUGCCAAUUCUGACAUGACGGUGAAAUAUUGGGAGAAUGUUGUAAAUCAUAUUAGCUCACUUGCUAAUUUGGAAUAUGACAAGCAUUGUAGGAAAAUACUAUCUUUAAGUUAUGAGAGUUUACCUAUUCAUCUCAAACCAUAUUUUUUAUAUUUGAGAGUUUUUCCUGAAGAUGGCUUGAUUAAUCUCUCAAAGCUAAUAGGCUUUUGGAUUGCUGAAGGAUUCAUUAAAUCAAAGAAAUAUAGAAGUUUGGAAGAUAUUGCACGGGAGUAUGCAAAAAGUCUCAUUGACAGAAAUCUAAUGUUUGAACAGAAUGAAAAUGGAUGUGUCAUUCAUGAUCUUUUACGGGAUUUCUGUUUGAGAGAGUCUGACGAUGAAUGUUUUCUCAAAUUUCCCAGAAGGCGAAUUGUUUCAGGAAGGUUAAGAGUUGUGCACUGUAAUCUUUGUCAAGAAUUUCUCAAGGGGAAAGAAGGAAUGCAUAUAGUGCAACCAUUUUAUAUAUUUGGAUUAUCGUCACAAGUUAAUCCUCUUGCAUGCGAUGCUUGUACUAUGGUGAAUUCCCAUAUUAAAAGACAUGAUUUGGUGAAGAUUGCAACUUAAGAUGAUGGUUUGGACACAGAAACUUUGCAGCCAAUAGAAUUGCUUUGUGUUGAUAUAGGGUGGAUAAAAUCAUUUUUCCAUUCAACAUUAAAGUUACUUUGGAAUCUUCAAAGUUUAAUGAUUUCAUACUCAUCAGUUGAAGAGUUACCUCCAGAGAUAUGGGAGAUGCCACAACUAAGAGAGAUUCGAUGUGAAUACCUUCAUCUAGCAGAUCCUAUAGCCACUGAUAUUGAGGGGGAAGAUUUUAUUAUCCUCAAGGACCUUCACACCAUAGAUGGAAUCUGUAAUUUCAAUUGUUCCAAACAAGUCAUUGAUCGGAUCCCAAAUUUGAAGAGAUUGAACGUUAAAUAUGGUGAUGGAUCUAAGAGGGGGUGCAAAACAGCUGAACUAUUCUCUAUGUAAUUUUGAGCAACUACAGAAACUUGAAUCUCUAUCUAUAAUAAAUUGCUUGGAGAAGAUGAGCUUCCCUAUUCCCUCAAGAAAUUGCAUUUCAUCUAUUGCAGAAUAGCAUGGGAAGAUAUGUCAAUUAUUGGUUUGCUGCCGAGUCUUGAAACACUUCAAGAUAUCUGGUGGUGUGCAGGGGUCAGAGUGGGAGCCUGUUCAAGGGGGAUUUCGUCGCCUGAAAGAAUUGGACAUUAACAAUACUGAUUUAGUGUGUUGGAGAGCUGAAUCGAUGCACUUCCCUAUUCUUGAGAGGCUUCAACUUACUGAAUUACGUUUGUUGGAGGAGAUCCCUUCGGGCAUUGGAGAUAUACUAACAUUGAAAUCAAUUGGUGUGUGGUAUUGCAGUGAGUCUAUCAUUGAUUCGGCAAAGGAAAUAUGGGUGGAGCAACACGAGCUUGGAAAUGAGAUUAGAAUUGAUAUUACUGAUGGAGAACAUGGGGUCGAAUAUCAAAUUGGUACUUUCACUGCAAGAAUGACAGGGGCAGCUUGUCAAUCCUUGGCUUAUUCGAAACCUCUUAGGGAAAGACUCCAAGAGGUUGCUUGACGUGGCCGCCACUCUCUAAGCUCAAAACAAAUGGAAGCUGUGGAGGAAGCCAUCCAUUUUUUCAAGGACUUCUUUAAAGUUUUUCAUCCAAGAAAAAGCCAAGAAAUGGAAAGUUUGCCACGAGAAAUGGCCCAGGCUACCCAUAAAGCAGAGGUUGUGGUCCGCAGGCUACGAUCGGAAACUUUGAUGCCUAUACUUGGUAAGUGCGUCCGUGAAGAUGUGAAAAGGCUGUUGGAAAAGAUAGACUUCAUAAGAAAGGCGUUGUCGGUUGCUGAAGAGGAAUGGCAAGAAAACGAACAAACUGAUAAUAAUUCCACAUCCUAUGAUAUCAACUCAAUGAUAUUUUGGGGGGGACAUCCUAACAGGGAUGAUGAUCUGAGAGAAUAUCAAAUUGGUUCUGUCACAGCAACAAUGACGGAGGCGGCUAGUUUAAUCUGGUCUGAUUUAGCAUGCGGCCUGGAGGUCCUCCGAAAGGCUUCUGAGCUCGGCCGUCAUCAUCUAACCACAAAGCUAAUGGAAAAUGUCGACGAAUCCAUCAGUUUCCUACAAGAUGUUGAAGUUCAUCCUCAAAUUAUACUCCAGCACUCGGAUGAUAUUGAUGUAGCGUACACAAAUUUUCUUAUCUAAGCAGCACAGCAUCUGAAUUCGGAGCAUCUUUUUCGACAAUCUCUGGAAGACGCAACUGAUGAAAAAAUCUUAUCCUUCUCUGAGGAUGUACAAGAGUUUUUGAAAAUCUUAAAAGACAUGUUUGAAAGGUAGCAAUCGAAGACGACUCAACUAGACUCACUCACUCACAAGAUAAAUAUAUAUGAAUCUGGCAAAUUGGCUGAGGAAGCCUGCAAUUGUUGUGCCGGAAGGACCUAAAAAAACAAAAAGCAAAAAUUCUGAAAGCCGGAAAAAGCUAAAAUUUUAUGUGCAAAAAUUGUUUCGAAAACUUAAAAAGAUCACUUAUGUGAGAGAAGUGAGGCAGCUUCCAAGAAGAAACAAUUGGCGAUGGAUGGAGGGCGAAUUCGCUUCGGUUGCCACGCCAGGCUAGGAUUUGAUUUCGCAUCUAUAAUUGAUUUUGUGUUUUUUAAUUUCAUCAUACCACAUAUUUUGCUAAUAAAAUAUUUUUCAACACAUAUUGUGGGAU